UUAAAGUCUCCAUCUGCAGACUGAGUCUGAAUGCAGACCUUCAGGCUUCAACAGCUAACCGGAUUUUUGUACCCAUGCCUCCCCCUCCUCUUCCCCAACCCCUGCUUGGGCAGUGCCUAGCUUGAUAAAGAAUUCUGGAGAACUCAAAAGCUUGCACCCUAUUUGCCAACAUUUUGGCUGAUCUUAAUAAAGAUGCUUCAGAGCUGUGCAUUUUGGAGGGUUCCCCUCCUCCCUUAUGGACCAACACAGCUGCCUUUGGUUUUUUGCCUCCACUUCUGUAACCCUCCUUGAAAGACCCACAUUUUCCUUGCUGCCCUCCCCGCUCUCCCCCCGUUGCUAGGGCUUGCAUGUAUCCUAGCUACAGCGCUUAGCAAAUAGCUGACUAGCUCUUUAGAAAGCCAGUAUCGCCGCUGAGAUCUCUGGGCUCCAGCACACGCAGCCCUCUUCCUAUAGGAGCUUCACUCAGCUAAUGCUUAUGGAGGCAGUUACUUUGCUGAAGAUGAAGUGGGAAGCUGGUGCUUUGCUGAGAUAAAACAAAAAACAAAAACCAGAUAAGGAGGAUUGCUUGGGGGAAGAGGAUGUACUUGCAUUUUACUGAGAAGCAGGAUUGUGUUGUGUGGCAAAGAGUGGCUGGGGGCUUCCAGGACUGGGCUGCAGACCAGCAGGUCAGCUCGUCAUUGUCUGAUUCAGGUUCGCCUUGUCUUCUGUCGUAGCCAUGUGUCUGAGCAUGUCUCCUGUGAUUAUUCAUCGGCGCACUGUAUCCCUGGCUCUCCCUGUUCCCGUUGCCUGUGCCUUGCCAGCCAGAGCGGCAUCACAUCUUGGAAAGGGAAGAAGUAAUGCAGCCAGCUUGGUUAACUGAGUCGCUGCCGGCCACCUCUGGCCGUAAUCACAAUGAUGCUGCAUACAGACACACUCCGCCUCUUAGCUGAAUGGACUUGGAAGUGCUCAGCAGACUCUAUCUAUGCACUCCAUUGGCUUGUUAAGUGGCACUUAUUUGAUGAACUAUUAUACAAGAAAACGGCUACAUGUCUGCAGCUGCUGUGAGAAAAGCCCAAUCCAUUAGAACAAAUAUUGCUCUCUAAUUGAGACCAUCGGGGCUUCGAGAAUAUGUGCGCUGGGUUGUGAGUAAUGCCCAAUUAGCUGUAAUUGAUUAAUGGUGGAUCAUUAGAGUACAUCAGGAAUCUAUGUUUAUGUUUAGCGACCGCCCUGUGGAAUGUAUGUCUUCACUGGCUUUUAUCCCAUUUUAUUAAUGACUUCAGAGUGCUUAUGUGUAGAGAAACGUGUAAAAAAAAAAUGUUGGUGGGAUCUUUGGACAAGAAACUGCUUUUGUCUCUUCUGUUUCUAGCUGAAAUGUCGAGGUGUUGUGGGAGAGCUAAUCCAGGCCUCUUAAAAUGGAGAAAAGCCAACUUGAUAAUCAACUUGGAAAUGAUAUAUUUUUAUUUACCAGUCUUGUUCCAUCUGGAAAUUCAGACACUGAUGGAUUGAAAGUGGGAGUGAGGGGAGGCAAGGGAAAAGCAGUCAGGCUGGUAGUCUCAAAGGCAAUUGAUUCUUCAAGAAACACUGAAGUUCAAAUAAAUCCUGUGACAUUGUCCAAUGGAAAAUUCACAAGUGUGGCUUGCUUCCCAAGCCUUGAGUAGAAAUCCAGCCUUCCAGAAACGUAGCAAACCCCUUACUGGCAUUGAAGUUGCAAAGCAAGAACUUUCAGGUGUAUUCAUCUCACGUGGUCCAAUAUUUGAUAAUGAAACUGCUCUCUUCUCCUUGGAGUUUAAUGCUAAUUCCAACCUAAAAGAACUGAAUCCAUUAUCAAGAGCCAUUUUUUCUAAGUUGUGUGUGUGUCCUGUUCUGUGCAGUGUUCUCCAUUCCUACUAGUUACAUGAGUCACUCUGUUGUUGUGCUAGACACCUUCUUUUUUAAAGAAAGCUCAUUUUGAAAAUACUUUGUGAUUUUUGGCAAAUGGAAGCAAGUCUGGGAUACACUCAGAGAUGUAAGCCUGACAGCUAGUUAGUUCUCAGAAUGGUUUUUGCAUAGACUCUAUUCAUGUGAACAGGCAAUCCCAUUCUGCACUUAAGGCAAACCAAACAACACAAGAGCAUGUAGCAUUUCUUAAAUGUAUUGUUUUCUUAGUUUAAUGUAAAGUUGGGAAAAAUAAACCCAACCAAAAAUCUGUUUUACUUGUCUGGCUAAAAGCCUGAUUUCCUAUAUGGACAUUGUAUAACUUUAGAGAGUAGUGGGUGGGGGGAGUUUGCUUUCAUGGCGAAAUAAAAAAAUAUGAAAGGCCUCAGCUUGGUUUUCUUAGCUCCAGCUUCUGCUACAAUUUCCAUUCUUCUUUGCUUACUGCUUUGAGCAACAUAUUUGGAAAGGCAGUGUAUACAUUUUAAAUAUAAAUAAAUGUUGUAUGCUGCAGCAGUCUGCAGUGUUAAUAAAGAAACAAACAGAACUUUUGUUUUGCCAUAGCCAGAAAUAAAAUACUGAGGGCCAAUUCAUAUUUAUUUUCAUAUUUAUUUAUUGUAUAAUCAAGCUCUUUGCCUUGAUUGAAUGUGUGUCAUUCAUCCCCAAACCAAUUCUAGUUGUGCCACUAGUUCUGGCAUUAGUUGUCCAUAAAUGUAGACUGCAGAUGUGAAUCCAGUUAACCUCCAUUGUUCCUGAUCCAGCAGGUAGUAUGUAAAAGGAAGCCUCUACUUACAUACAAAGACCUUUAUAACUGGAUCAGGAUGCGCCUCUAAGAAUUCAUUACAAACCCAGAUGGCUGGCGAGCGUACAAUGAGAAACAUUGGUGCUGGGGAGAGCCCAAUUUUUGACCAUGCAAAUCAGCCCUGACAAAUACCCAAUGCUUUCUAUACACUGUAUCCCGGGAGAGCUAUAAGAAAAAGAGUUCUGAGGCUGUUUUGUCAAUAAGAUUCCUCAUGCAUUUAUUCAUGGCAUAUUGUAAAUUUCUAAUGUUGGUGCUUGACAUUUAAAAAUUGAAUAAAUUCUGGCUUCUUAUAAAAAGAACUGUUAUAACUGUUCCUCAAAAUAAAGCCAAACUGUAUUCAAAUAAA